GUGCUGUCAUUUUAGCUUUAUAAAUAAUCCGUCUGAGAAAAGGAAUUGUGUUUAAUUUUAUAUUCCCAAUAGCGAGGCUCUUCUUUCUAAGUUGGAUGGCGUUAAAUCUCCGUGUAUCAUCAACGUGAAAACAAGCGCAGUAUUUAAGGUUGGUAUACUACAAUGCAUUACAGUUAUCGUGUUAUUUUAUAGUCAAAUUUCCGCUUUGUUGUUUUUAUUCUUGUACUGUAAUUUUAUAAAUACACUGUACAAAAUUAUGGCAUCAUACUUGUGUUUAUAAUGCCUCUAAUUUGACCCUAUUGUGUGUGUAUAUGUACUGUGUCACUGUGAUACAUAUGUACAUGUUUUGAGUUAAACGAAUUGUUUAAUAAAUUUUUGCUGAAGUAUGAUCCUGUUUGUAUGGAUUUUUACAUAUAUGUGCACUGUGUAUAGUUUAUACAUUGGUUCUCAGAUGAGUCUGAAGGUAUAUUGUUAUUCAGUUAUUUGUAUGUAUUGUUUUAUACAUUUUGCUGAGUAUGAUGCCUGUUUGUAUCUAGUUGUGGAUGGUUGUGAGAAUAUAAUUUUAGAGGUUACAUGUUUGCUAAUUUUAGAGAUGAUAAUGUAUCAAAUAAUAAUUUUCUUGUUAUGACUUUGUAGAAAGAGAUUUACUUGAGUGGUUGGUUGGUCUUGAGCCUGUUCAGGAUGGAUAUGAUAAUGAAAGAGGUGAUCAAGGUGAUAGGGCAGAAAGUGAUGACGUUUAAGUGAGAAGAUGAAAGUGAUGAGGAGGAAAUCGCCCACGCUGUAGCAUUCAAGUGCAUCGGUGAUGCUCGUGAGAAAAACUACCAACAUCAUUUGGAAAAUUAAAUUAAGACAUAAUACCUCACUCUUCGUGAACAAGAU